rnacentral:rRNA from 1 species
AUUGAACGCUGGCGGCAGGCCUAACACAUGCAAGUCGAGCGGAUGAAGGGAGCUUGCUCCUGGAUUCAGCGGCGGACGGGUGAGUAAUGCCUAGGAAUCUGCCUGGUAGUGGGGGAUAACGUCCGGAAACGGGCGCUAAUACCGCAUACGUCCUGAGGGAGAAAGUGGGGGAUCUUCGGACCUCACGCUAUCAGAUGAGCCUAGGUCGGAUUAGCUAGUUGGUGGGGUAAAGGCCUACCAAGGCGACGAUCCGUAACUGGUCUGAGAGGAUGAUCAGUCACACUGGAACUGAGACACGGUCCAGACUCCUACGGGAGGCGGCAGUAGGGAAUAUUGGACAAUGGGCGAAAGCCUGAUCCAGCCAUGCCGCGUGUGUGAAGAAGGUCUUCGGAUUGUAAAGCACUUUAAGUUGGGAGGAAGGGCAGUAAGUUAAUACCUUGAUGUUUUGACGUUACCAACAGAAUAAGCACCGGCUAACUUCGUG